GACGAACGCUGGCGGCGUGCUUAACACAUGCAAGUCGAACGGUGACCCUCGGAGCUUGCUUCGGGGUGAGCAGUGGCGAACGGGUGAGUAACACGUGAGUAACCUGCCCCUGACUCUGGAAUAAGCGCUGGAAACGGCGUCUAAUACCGGAUACGACACGCCUCCGCAUGGGGAGCGUGUGGAAAGUUUUUCGGUCUGGGAUGGACUCGCGGCCUAUCAGCUUGUUGGUGAGGUAAUGGCUCACCAAGGCGAUGACGGGUAGCCGGCCUGAGAGGGCGACCGGCCACACUGGGACGGAGACACGGCCCAGACUCCUACGGGAGGCAGCAGUGGGGAAUAUUGCACAAUGGGCGAAAGCCUGAUGCAGCGACGCCGCGUGAGGCAUGACGGCCUUCGGGUUGUAAACCUCUUUCAGCAGGGAAGAAGCGAAAGUGACGGUACCUGCAGAAGAAGCACCGGCUAACUACGUGCCAGCCGCCGCGGUAACAC
rnacentral:rRNA from 1 species